rnacentral:rRNA from 1 species
UACGGGGGGAGCAAGCGGUUGUUCGGAUUUACUGGGCGUAAAGGGCGCGUAGGCGGUCAGCACAAGUCAGUUGUGAAAUCUCCGGGCUUAACUCGGAAAGGUCAACUGAUACUGUGCGACUAGAGUGCAGAAGGGGCAACUGGAAUUCUCGGUGUAGCGGUGAAAUGCGUAGAUAUCGAGAGGAACACCUGCGGCGAAGGCGGGUUGCUGGGCUGACACUGACGCUGAUGCGCGAAAGCCAGGGGAGCGAACGGG